UACGGGGGAGCAAGCGUUGUUCGGAUUUACUGGGCGUAAAGGGCGCGUAGGCGGCCAGCACAAGUCAGUUGUGAAAUCUCCGAGCUUAACUCGGAAAGGUCAACUGAUACUGUGCGGCUAGAGUGCGGAAGGGGCAACUUGGAAUUCUUGGUGUAGCGGUGAAAUGCGUAGAUAUCAAGAGGAACACCUGCGGCGAAGGCGGGUUGCUGGGCCGACACUGACGCUGAUGCGCGAAGCCAGGGGAGCGAACGGG
rnacentral:rRNA from 1 species